rnacentral:rRNA from 1 species
AACGAACGCUGGCGGCAUGCCUAACACAUGCAAGUCGAACGAGACCUUCGGGUCUAGUGGCGCACGGGUGCGUAACGCGUGGGAACCUGCCCUUAGGUUCGGAAUAACUCCCCGAAAGGUGUGCUAAUACCGGAUAAUGUCUUCGGACCAAAGAUUUAUCGCCUUUGGAUGGGCCCGCGUUGGAUUAGCUAGUUGGUAGGGUAAAAGCCUACCAAGGCGACGAUCCAUAGCUGGUCUGAGAGGAUGAUCAGCCACACUGGGACUGAGACACGGCCCAGACUCCUACGGGAGGCAGCAGUAGGGAAUAUUGGACAAUGGGCGAAAGCCUGAUCCAGCAAUGCCGCGUGAGUGAUGAAGGCCUUAGGGUUGUAAAGCUCUUUUACCCGGGAUGAUAAUGACAGUACCGGGAGAAUAAGCUCCGGCUAACUCCGUG